GUGCUACAAGUUUUUUUUUCAGACAGAUUCCCUGUGCCAUGCACUGAACCUAAUAUUCUGACUCUAAAUGGGGUUUUACCAGACAGAUCCCCAGUGCUUUGCACGGAGCCUAAUGAUGGUUUAACGACUGGACUUUUAGCGGACAGGUUCCCUGUGCCAUGCACUGAACCGAAUCAAAAUGGGCAUUUACCAGAUAAUUUACCAGUGCAGUGUUCAGACCAAGAAGGACCGACUGAUGUAGAAAACCUGAGGCUUUCGAUUUGCUAUCAAAUCAGAUGAGCAGAGAUCAGCUAAAAAAAAGUAGUUUCUUGGUUUAUCUUAGCGCUACUUUAAAGAGCCGGCUUUCGAUGAUGAAUCGAAGAUCAAAUAGAAAGUUACAAUCUUACAAAUUUUGUUCCCGUUCUCUUUAAAUACUUGGUCAAGAUUUGUCCUUAAAAAUUUUAUGAUAAAAAUGUCCAUAGUUACGUUAAUAUUGGCCAGCUGUUGUUGUUUGCACAGGCGGACUAUACACCUGUUUAAUUUGAUAAGGAAACGAUGCUUCCAAAACUAUCGAUUGGGUAGGUUUGAGUACACUGUACAAGCUUGUAUCUCCAGCACAAUCUAAUGUAGUUUAGUAUUUUUAAAUGACAAUUUUUAUCAGGAAAAGUAGUUUCGUAAGUAAUUAACACUUAACACUAGUGGAACGGAUUAAAACAUUU